rnacentral:RNase_P_RNA from 1 species
AAAGUUGAUAAAACAGUCGCUGUUUAGUUUUUUAAUAAACUAAAAAGAGGAAAGUCCGGGCUCCAUAGAGCAAAGGUGCCAGGUAAUACCUGGAAAGCGAAAGCUUAUGACUAGUGCAACAGAAAAAAAACCACCUUAUUUUAUAAAUUUAUUAUUAUAAAUAUACGGAAAGGGUGAAAAGGUGCGGUAAGAGCGCACCGCAUAGUUGGCAACAACUUAUGGCAGGGUAAACUCCACCUGGAGCAAAGUCAAAUAUAAGUUAAUAUUCUAGAAGUAUUGCUCGUACUUUAAAAAAACCUGGGUAGACUGCUUGAAUUAAUAAGUAAUUAUUAAUCUAGAUGAAUGACUGUUUAAAACAGAACCCGGCUUAUAUAUCAACUUACUAA